rnacentral:rRNA from 1 species
GACGAACGCUGGCGGCGUGCCUAACACAUGCAAGUCGAACGGGACUCAGCCCUUCGGGACUGAGUUUAGUGGCGAACGGGUGAGUAACGCGUGAGGAACCUGCCUUUCAGUGGGGGACAACAGUUGGAAACGACUGCUAAUACCGCAUAAAACUUUCGAGCGGCAUCGUUUGAAAGUCAAAGAUUUAUUGCUGAAAGAUGGCCUCGCGUCUGAUUAGCUGGGUUGGUGAGGUAACGGCCCACCAAGGCGACGAUCAGUAGCCGGACUGAGAGGUUGAACGGCCACAUUGGGACUGAGAUACGGCCCAGACUCCUACGGGAGGCAGCAGUGGGGAAUAUUGGGCAAUGGGGGAAACCCUGACCCAGCAACGCCGCGUGAAGGAAGAAGGCUUUCGGGUUGUAAACUUCUUUUACCAGGGACGAAGGACGUGACGGUACCUGGAGAAAAAGCCACGGCUAACUACGUG